rnacentral:rRNA from 1 species
GAUAAACGCUGGCGGCGUGCCUAACACAUGCAAGUCGAACGUCCUGUUGCCCGCAAGGGUAGCAGGGAGUGGCGGACGGGUGAGUACCACGUGAGUGAUCUACCUUGAGGUGAGGAAUACCGGCGAGAAAUCGCCGACAAGACCGCAUAGGCUCGUGCGUAUCGCACGUGCGAGCAAAGUGGUUCUCUUCGGAGAGCGACGCCUCAAGAGGAGCUUGCGCCCGAUUAGCUGGUUGGUGGGGUAAGAGCCUACCAAGGCGACAAUCGGUAGCUGGUCU